rfam:Talaromyces marneffei PM1 scf004, whole genome shotgun sequence.
UCAGCUCUCUUUGCCUUUUGGCUUAGAUCAAGUGUAGUAUCUGUUCUUUUCAGUUUAAUCUCUGAAAGUGUUCUAAGGAACACAACAUUGAUUAUUCUCAUUUUUGGAUCGCGCACUGAAGUCUCUGUGCUUGCACAUGCUUCGGUGCACUGUGUCCUUGGUCUUACACUACCACCAAGUGACGCGAAUACUU